AAGUAAAUUUUUUAAUAUUCUUAAUUUUUUUCAUUACCAUUAUGUCAUUUUAUUCAAUCCAUUCUCUAAUUAAAAUCAAAACUAUACUAAAAGCUCUUAAACUAGAGCAUUGAGGGUGUCCACGUCUGCACUAAAAAUCCACCAAUAGAGUCAUCUGUUUUUGCCAUGUCACACUGGCUUGGGUUGAAUUUUUUUAAAAUCCAUAAAAUGAUCAAAUUGGUCCAGAAGCCCAUCUAGUGAAGCCCUAAGCGGAGAGCACCGCGACUCUGAGCUUCGUCAAUCUCCUUCAUUUUUUUUCUUGCGCACAAAGACGAUCUACUUUUUUCUCGUUUCCACUUCCUCAACGGCGAUCAAUCGACUCUGUGAAAUGAAUCCUCCGUUAAUCUUAUUUAUGACUUUCUUUCGCAUUCCUCCCUCUAAGUUUCUUUAUAACACCAUUCUUUUCCCCAGAUUUAUCACUCAAAAAUAUCCUCUCAAGCGAUAAAUUCCAACAAAAAUUCCUCUGUUUCUGAUGAUCUUCUCUCGAAGAAACCAAACAGAAAGGACGGUGUCUCCUCCGCUGAGCCGAUCAAACUUACCGACCAAACCGGUGACUCUUCCACUAAAGCUGUCUCCGGUGAUCCUAUGUCGAAGAAACGAAACGGCAAGGCCGACUGUGUGCUCCGACGUGCCGAUCAAACAUAGCUUUCUCAAUGAUCCGCAUCGUGUCUGAACAUCGGCCGUACGUUGUCUUCUCAGACGGGUAAUGUCUAAAACUUGAACUUUUAUUGUAAGUAUUCAUUGGCUUCACCAACCUGGAAAUUUUAUACCUUUAUUUUUUUGUUUGUAUCGCAAGAAUAUAUACAAAUGGUGUGGCAAUAGAUAGUUUCUUCACCAGUCAGAUGUGGCUAAAGAAAAUGCACAACAGAUUGUGGUUAUGGAGCAGAGCAUCUAAUGAAAUCUCUAUGGAGCAUGAGAAUGGUUUAGACAGUGCAGGAUCCUCUCUAAGAUCGGUGUGGAUAACACGAAGGUUCUAAAAGCAACAGAUGAGUGCAUCCGACACCAACCAAUGGUGUAUGGAGAAGCUGUUGGUUCGAUGAUGAGACGUGAUUUAGAAGUUCUGUUUCAGAGAGCAAGACAAUAUUGUUCUGUUUCAGAGAGCAAGACAAUAUGAGAAAGACUUAGGGGACUCUUAUGUCUCAGUGAAGCAUUUGGUUCUUGGUUUUUAAUAUUCGUACUGCAAAUUUUGCAACGCAAUGAAGUUUGAUAGCAGAAGAGUUACGUUUUUUGUAACAAUCUUCAAGUUAUUAGUUUCUUCAUAUUCGACUAGGUAAAAACAUGUCCUCCACUUCUGAACA